UGGGGAAUAUUGGGCAAUGGGCGAAAGCCUGACCCAGCAACGCCGCGUGAAGGAAGAAGGCCCUCGGGUUGUAAACUUCUUUUGUCAGGGACGAAGCAAGUGACGGUACCUGACGAAUAAGCCACGGCUAACUACGUGCCAGCAGCCGCGGUAAUACGUAGGUGGCAAGCGUUAUCCGGAUUUACUGGGUGUAAAGGGCGUGUAGGCGGGAGUGCAAGUCAGAUGUGAAAACUAUGGGCUCAACCCAUAGCCUGCAUUUGAAACUGUACUUCUUGAGUGAUGGAGAGGCAGGCGGAAUUCCCUGUGUAGCGGUGAAAUGCGUAGAUAUAGGGAGGAACACCAGUGGCGAAGGCGGCCUGCUGGACUUUAACUGACGCUGAGGCGCGAAAAGCGUGGGGAGCAAAACAGGAUUAGAUACCC
rnacentral:rRNA from 1 species